UCAUUUUGUAAAACCUCAUUAAGUUGUGCAACUCUAAACAAUGCACUCCCAGUGUUUGUGCUUUAUGGCAGCAGGGGUCAGGUUGUCUAGAAGCAGACUGAGAUAAGCAUCUUUGCGCAUGGUCAUUGGGGCAGGUGCUCUUGAGAAUACUCUCUAGAGAGAUGGAAGACUUGGGUGUAGAAGAGGCCAGAGGAGCUACACGACAAAGGCCUCAGACCAUUGUCCCAGGAGAUCUUCAGGGAAUGCUGUACAGCGGGAAAGAAGUUGCUCCAAAGGAAGAACAUUGAUUCAGGGCGAAAAGUAGCCUCUCCUUCCAUCCCAGGCGCCAUCAUAAAUGCUCACGAGUUCCAACAGAGCGGCUGGAGCAGGAGCCGGUGGAGACGGAACCAGGAGCUUGGCCAAGGGAAGCUCGUUUCUGGCAAAUCUCCCGCCCUUCGCAAACAAUUUUCUUUGGACGCCUUUCUUUCCUUCCUGUUCCCUAACCCCUAUUUAAACCUGAAGGUGCCCCAUGCCUUCACAGCUCUAGCCGUAUGUGAGCAGGACUAGGCUGAGUGGGGCAAGAAGCACAGAACCAGAUCUGUCAUCCUACGUCACCACCUGCGAGCUGCUUUGUGGCUUAUGGAGCCGGUCUUGGGAUGAUUGUUUCCAGAAGAGCAUUCUGUCUAGGUGACGAAAGGACCCAGAAGCCUGGGGAAAGCAGAGUGGUACUUGGGGUGUCACUUGAUGGACAAUCACAUUAUGUUGAGACCCUGUGUUCAAUCUGUAGUACCUACGUCCCUGUCCAAAGAAAAGAGAGCUGCAGAUCUACAGCAGUCAUUGAUAUGUUUCGUAAAAUGAGCGAGUCCUUCCUGUAACAGUCUUUAGUUCCAGCACUGCCUGUGGACUUGGCUGCAGGUGCUCUAUUAAAAAGCCGCCUCGCCCGGCAUGGUGGCGCACGCCUUUAAUCCCAGCACUUGGGAGGCAGAGGCAGGCGAAUUUCUGAGUUUGAGGCCAGCCUGGUCUACAGAGUGAGUUCCAGGACAGCCCGGACUGCACAGAGAAACCCUGUCUCGGAAAAAAAAAAAAAGCCAUCUCAGUGGACAGUUGUGGGGUGGCUUCCCAGAACUGCCUUUCUCUUUGGCAAAAUGUUCCUUGAAAUUAUUGGCAUUCUUGUUUCACAGUGUGCAUGUGCCUCCACACUGGAGGGAUAUGUGCGUGACCUACAGUGAGCUGGUGGUAGGAAUCUCUUGUCACAGAGAUCUUCCCAGUAACCCCAGUAACGUCGUAUGGUGUAAGCCAGACUACUAGAAAUUCACAAGCAAGGCAUGUCACACCAAAGCUAAUGGAACAGUGUCUUUCCAUUAUGAUGGGUAAGCUGAAAGAAUCUGAACCUUCUGACAGAUGUGGUGUGUGUACUUUAACUAAAUAAAAUCACCUCAAGAUACAUAAAAGAGAAAAAAAAGGGAGAGUAAAUAUAUAUACUCACAUAUAUAUACAUAUAUUUGGAGAGAGAGAAGAGAGAGAGAAUGUUAAUGUGUGGGAGCUGGAGAGAGACCCCAGCCCUGAGGGACACCAUUCCUUCAGAAAACCUGGGUUCAAUUCCCAGCCCUCACAUGGAAACUCACAACCAUCUAAACUUCAGUUGCAGGGAAUCUGGUCCCUCUGCUGACCUUAGCAGUGCCCAGGCAUGCACAUGGGACUCACACACACACACACGGAAGAAAAAACUCAUAAAAUAAAAGACAUAAGUCUAAUUUAAAAAAAAAAAAGUUUAUGUGUGUUUCAGGUGUGUGUAGAGUACACACAUGUGAGUGUGGACACAAACACAUAAUUCUGAAUGUAGAGGCCAGAGGUCAACAUUAGGUUUUUCCCCUGGAUUGCUGUGCACCUUAUUUUUCCAGAUAGGGUCGCCCACUGAACCUGGAGUUCUGUGAGUCAGCUAGACCAGCCAACGGGAAGGAUCAGUCGCCCCUGGCCCUCCCAGCUCUACAUCACAGCCACACCCUAGCCAACGGGAAGGAUCAGUCGCCCCUGGCCCUCCCAGCUCUGGAGUUAUAGGUACACAUCACAGCCACACCCAGCUUACGUGAGUGGUGUGGAUCUGACUUCAGGUCCUGUGUGUGCAUGGCAGGCAUUUUAAGGACAGAGUCACCACCUCACUCCUCAGCCUCAGUCCUUUUCUUUUACGAAGUAUUAUAGAUGACAUUUUGAUAUUUAUUGUUUUGCAGUGCUGACAAUCAAAUCCAGGAUUUCAGGGUUAUACUUUAGUGAGUGAGCUUCAGCCCCACUGAAAACUUUAAUAUUGUGACCACACACACACACACCUUGUUUCCUAACACAUGAUGAGCAGACCUUCCAUAUAGCAUAGGCAACCCCAGCUUAAUCAAUAGCAGGUCCCUCCUCCAGUAUCAGAAAUGUCCCAGGUGGGUGAUACAUUACUGAUCAUUAUUUGUAUUUCGAUGUGACUAUAAUAAAAACAAUAAAAUCAGUUCUCUUAA